GUCGGCGGAGCCAGAGUGGCCCCGGCGCCUCGGCGCGAACUCUGUCCCUUUCCUCGCGGUCCCGGCCGCUCUUACCGUCCCGGUCGCACAGCUGAAUGGCCUCCAGGCUGAGGUUUUUGAUCACCUCCUCACAGGGGCUGGUGGGGCUGUUGAGGGCAUGAUCCAGGCGCGGCACCUCCAUUUUUCCAACCCACUCUGAAGCCCGCCUGCUUCGUAUCCAGGCUCUCUCUGCCGGCCGGGUGGGCAAGAAGAGCGGGAAAGGGAGGGGGAGUGGCAGA
rnacentral:lncRNA from 10 species